rnacentral:pre_miRNA from 1 species
UUUUUAGUAUAAGUUUGUCCCAGGCAAUGUUGGGAUAUACUUAUGCUAAAA